UUCGCAAUGCCCGAAAGGGUGACGAAGCGACGCCGCGUGUGGGAAGAAGGCCUUCGGGUUGUAAACCACUGUCGGGAGUUAAGAAAUACAAGGAUAUUAAUAGUGUCUUUGUUUGACUAAGGCUCCGGAGGAAGCCACGGCUAACUCUGUGCCAGCAGCCGCGGUAAUACAGAGGCGGCAAGCGUUGUUCGGAAUUGCAUUGGGCGUAAAGAGCACGUAGGCGGCUAUGUAAGUCGGUUGUGAAAGCCUUCCGCUCAACGGAAGAACAGCAUCCGAUACUACAUGGCUUGAGUGCGGGAGGGGAGAGUGGAACUUCUGGUGGAGCGGUGAAAUGCGUAGAUAUCAGAAGGAACGCCGGCGGCGAAAGCGGCUCUCUGGCCCAUAACUGACGCUGAGUGUGCGAAAGCUAGGGGAGCAAACGGGAUUAGAUACCCCGGUAGUCCUAGCCGUAAACGAUGGGCACUAAGUAGAGGGGUUA
rnacentral:rRNA from 1 species